rnacentral:rRNA from 1 species
AGGUGGUGCAUGGUUGUCGUCAGCUCGUGUCGUGAGAUGUUGGGUUAAGUCCCGCAACGAGCGCAACCCUCGACCUUAGUUGCCAGCAUUCAGUUGGGCACUCUAAGGUGACUGCCGGCUAAAAGUCGGAGGAAGGUGGGGAUGACGUCAAAUCAUCACGCCCCUUAUGACCUGGGCUACACACGUGCUACAAUGGUUGGUACAACGAGUUGCGAGUCGGUGACGGCGAGCUAAUCUCUUAAAGCCAAUCUCAGUUCGGAUUGUAGGCUGCAACUCGCCUACAUGAAGUCGGAAUCGCUAGUAAUCGCGGAUCAGCACGCCGCGGUGAAUACGUUCCCGGGCCUU